rnacentral:rRNA from 1 species
CGGGGAGGUAGUGACGAAAAAUAACGAUACGGGACUCAUCCGAGGCCCCGUAAUCGGAAUGAGUACACUUUAAAUCCUUUAACCAGGAUCCAUUGGAGGGCAAGUCUGGUGCCAGCAGCCGCGGUAAUUCCAGCUCCAAUAGCGUAUAUUAAAGUUGUUGCGGUUAAAAAGCUCGUAGUUGAAUCUGUGUGCCACGCUGUCGGUUCACCGCUCGCGGUGUUUAACUGGCAUGAUUGUGGGACGUCCUACCGGUGGAUUUAGCUAUAUGCAAGUAUGGCGGUCCAACUAAUAUCCCAUCGCGGUGCUCUUUACCGAGUGUCGAGGUGGGCCGGUACGUUUACUUUGAACAAAUUAGAGUGCUUAAAGCAGGCUUAUUUUGCCUGAAUAUUGUGUGCAUGGAAUAAUGGAAUAGGACCUCGGUUCUAUUUUGUUGGUUUUCGGAACCCCGAGGUAAUGAUUAAUAGGGACAGAUGGGGGCAUUCGUAUUGCGACGUUAGAGGUGAAAUUCUUGGAUCGUCGCAAGACGAACAGAAGCGAAAGCAUUUGCCAAAAAUGUUUUCAUUAAUCAAGAACGAAAGUUAGAGGUUCGAAGGCGAUCAGAUACCGCCCUAGUUCUAACCAUAAACGAUGCCAGCUAGCGAUCCGCCGAAGUUCCUCCGAUGACUCGGCGGGCAGCUUCCGGGAAACCAAAGCUUUUGGGUUCCGGGGGAAGUAUGGUUGCAAAGCUGAAACUUAAAGGAAUUGACGGAAGGGCACCACCAGGAGUGGAGCCUGCGGCUUAAUUUGACUC